CGACUGCUGAUCCACCAUCUGUCAUCAUCGCCGCUACCAAUCACCGGGGUACAUAUAUAUAACUAAAUAUUCCCUUAUGUAUCUAUAGUUGUAAUAUUUGUUUUUAUAGCUACUUUGAUUCAAAAGCUAAUCCAAAAUUUUAUUUUCCCCUCUUUUGGAACCGUUACCACUUGUUCUGUUGAUCAUUUUAUUUCCAAGUCUUUUUAUAUUUUAAAUAAGCAAAAAAAAAAAAAAAGCGUAUAAUUGUCAAUAUAUUUUCAUUAUUCAUUAUUUCCUGGUUCUUUUUUUCAUAGCAUUGACUUGGUGGGUAUAAACCAACAAAACCAAAGACUUUUGGGUCCUAAAAAAAGAAAGAAAUAUUUUACAAUCCAACUUAUUGUUAUGAAACAACCCACCCAACCAACCACGCACCCACUGUAUUUAAGCUGACCGAAAGUCCAUUUUUCUCCUUCCGUUUCAUACUCGAUAAAAUCGUACAUCACAAUAUUCCGAUCGCGUGGUCUCUUCUGAAGUUGGAUAAAAGCUGACAUGUGACUGCAUCACAGAACAAUUCAAA